rnacentral:rRNA from 1 species
CCUACGGGGUGCAGCAGUGGGGAAUAUUGGGCAAUGGGCGCAAGCCUGACCCAGCAAUGCCGCGUGAAGGAAGAAGGCUUUCGGGUUGUAAACUUCUUUGACAGGGGAAGAGCAGAAGACGGUACCCUGAAAACAAGCCACGGCUAACUACGUGCCAGCAGCCGCGGUAAUACGUAGGUGGCAAGCGUUGUCCGGAUUUACUGGGUGUAAAGGGCGUGUAGCCGGGAAGGCAAGUCAGAUGUGAAAUCUGGAGGCUCAACCUCCAAAUUGCAUUUGAAACUGGUUUUCUUGAGUACUGGAGAGGCAGACGGAAUUCCUUGUGUAGCGGUGAAAUGCGUAGAUAUAAGGAGGAACACCAGUGGCGAAGGCGGUCUGCUGGACAGCAACUGACGGUGAGGCGCGAAAGCGUGGGGAGCAAACAGGAUUAGAUACCCCAGUAGUC